CAGGGAGACAACAAAAUGUUUAAUAUUAUUAUUUUGUCACCUUAGGUCGAUCGGUACCUCACAUUCUUAAUUUAUUAAGGAUUUUAUUUCCUAAGUUUUUUCUAGGUCACACCCAUUACUUUUCCUGGGCCAUUAGCUCAGGUGGUUAGAGCGCACCCCUGAUAAGGGUGAGGUCCCUGGUUCAAGUCCAGGAUGGCCCAUAUCUCUAUGUUGGGGGUAUAGCUCAGUUGGUAGAGCGCCUGCUUUGCAAGCAGGAUGUCAGCGGUUCGAGUCCGCUUACCUCCACUGAUUACCACCUCUUCCAUAAUUAUUAAGGAAAUGUUUUGAGUAGUGNUCAAAUUCUGAACGAAUCUAGCUUCCUAAUGAAUUCAUUAAGAUGCUGGACUCAUUGAAUUAUUUUCAUUGUUUUCANAGAACCUUGACAACUGCAUAGAUUAUUUUUAAAGACAAUAAGCAUCUUUAUGAUGCAGAUUUAUUAUUUGUGCGAAUGCAUUAAUAACAAUUCUAUUAAGCUGAUGCUUCAAUUAUGAAGUCAUU
rnacentral:tRNA from 1 species